CGGACCUCUGCCCCCGCCACAGCCUCGGGGACCGGACGCUGCGCGGGCCGCCGAGGCUCGGGGAGGGGCGCCGAGGCAGGAGUGCCCGCGCCCGCGUGCAGUCUGCGGGCUGACCACGCGGGAGCCGGUGCGCGCGGACGGGCCGGGCGGCCGGAGGCGCCGAGAAGACAGGUCCUGGGGUGGGGUCGAGGCCAGGCGGACAGGUGCUCAUCGAGUGUCUUUCCUGAAGUCCUUUGCGCCCCCACCCCGCCCGCCACCGCAGCGAAUUCCCUUACAGAUGAUGUUUUUAGGAUUUUUCUCUGGGUGCAUAUUUCGUCUUCAGUGCACUUCCAGGAAGAGACAGCCAAGGGCCAUAUGUCUUAAGAAGCACAUGAGUUCUUUAUUGCUAUAUGCUUCUGAGGCGUUUUAGUUAUUGUACUCAAGUAAAGAUGGAAUCGUUUGUGUAUCCUCUUUUGUCCUUUUUCUGUGACCCACACCACCCGCAUUGCUUAAGAGAAUUGCCUGCCCCCUCACUCUGCUUGUAUUUUGGGAAAAGAUCUAGCACAAGUUAAAAGUGACUCUGCGAAUCUUCAAGCAGUUAAUCUCCUGUAUCGGAAGAAAGCUCAGACUUUUAGGCCACAUCACAGAUCCCCAUCCGGCGUAGAACUUGGAGAGUGACCAGGACUGGGAGAUGCAGCUGCCCGAGCGUGACAAGCAGUGAUCGUGGUGACGCAGAAGGGUCCCUGUGCUGCCAGGAUGACCAGACUCCUGUCCCCACGGCCGGCAGGCCCCUGCUGCGUAGGCGUGCUUCCACACCGUGCAGUGUGGCCUGGUCGGACUUCGGGGGAGCCGUGCUCUGCGCCCUGAGAUGACAUGGACUCUGGACUCUGCUUCUCAGCAAGAUCUAGGAUCAGCCAUACUCACAAACACCCCGGAAGAUAGGGUCACUCUGACAGAACUGAAGCUGGGCACCCGCGGGGCACAGAUGAGCGCGUGGAUUGACUUCCUGCCCACCUGAAGCCGGCCGAGUAGUUAUGGUCAGUCAUGGAGAAUAACCAGGAGACUAGGCCCGGAGGGGACGGGGGGUUCGUUUCCAAUAAAAUAAAGUUCAAAAUAGAAGAGGACGACGAUGGCCAGCUUCCUGGUCACGGCCUGGAGGACGGGCAGCAGGCGGACGGAGGGGACGACUACGGGGCGCUGCUCUCGCAGUACAGCAGCACCCUGUACAGCGUGGCCAUGGAGGCCGUGGCACAGAGCCUGCUCUCGGGCCGCGGUGCCGGCUCCAGGAAGAAGUCGCCAGCCUGGAAACACUUCUUCAUCUCCCCCCGCGACAGCACCAAGGCCAUCUGCACCUACUGCAUGAAGGAGUUCAGCCGGGGCAAGAAUGAGAAGGACCUGAGCACCAGCUGCCUCAUGAGACACGUGAGGAGGGCGCACCCCACGGCGCUGGCCGAGCCGGGGCCCGAGCCCGGCGGCGGGGGCGCCCCGGCCCCCUGCCCCCGCCCCGCCCCGCGGCCCCCGCCCGCCGCCACCACUGCGGGAGACCUGGGCCCCUUGCUCUCGCCCAUCAAACUAGCCCGGAAAGCGGCCUCUCAGACCCCGUCCCCCGAGCACACGACAGAGGAAUCUGUGUCCGCCGUAUCCUCUGAGGAGGUCUCAUCCGACGUGCCUGGGUCUGAGAGGAACGGCCGGGAAGAAGCCUUGGGGGUGCCACCGCCCCGCCUGCCUGCACCCCACAGCGAGGAUGCGGCGGACGGCGGGGCCGAGAGGAGCCUCCCUGUCCCCAGGAGCACGUCGGGGUCCCGGAGGAGGUCUGCGGUCUGGAAGCACUUCUACCUGUCGCCGCUGGACAGCUCCAAGGCCGUGUGCAUUCACUGCAUGAACGAGUUCAGCCGUGGGAAGAACGGGAAGGACCUGGGCACCAGCUGCCUGAUCCGGCACAUGUGGCGGGCGCACCGCGCCAUCGUGCUGCGAGAGAACGGCGGGGGCGCAGCCGUGCCACCCCCCUACUCAGCGCCACCCACCCUCCUGCCUGCACUGCCACCGCCAGACGGAGAGCCCGACUCCGUGUCCUCGUCCCCAGGGAAGCUGGUUCCCGAGUCCCCUUCCGCGUCCUCCUCCCCCGAUCGGCUGCCAGAGGACCUGCCCAGGCACCUGAGCGCCAGAGACGCGCUGCUGGAGGACGCAGCCGCGCUGUCCUCUGACGAUGCAGGUGAGGCCUCCCUGGCACCCUCUCCCGAGAAGGAGCGUGGCCCUGUGCCAAGCCCGCGUGCGCCGGAGGCAGGGGCCAUGUUCCAGCAGAACAGGAAGGUCAUGCGGAGGCUCAAGUCGGAAGUGUGGCACCACUUCUCGCUGGCGCCCACCGACAGCCUCAAGGCCGUGUGCAGGCACUGCGCCUGCGUCAUCAGUCGCGGGAAGAAGGGUGACGUGGGCACCAGCUGUCUGAUGCGGCACCUCUACCGGCGCCACCCGGACGUGGUCGGGAGCCAGAGGGGUCUUCUGGGCACCGGCCUGGCAAAUUCUCCGUAUGCCACCCUGGCUUCUGCAGAAACCACCGCCGCCAAGGUAACUGACCUGCCCGCGGUGGUCACCAGGAGCGGUCCAGCCGUGUUUCCCGUCAGCAGCAAGAAGACCUCCAAGCUGUGGAAUCACUUUUCCACCUGCCCCGCAGACCCCACCAAGGUCGUGUGCUUGCACUGUGGCCGGACCAUCAGCAGAGGCAAGAAGCCCACCAACCUGGGCACCAGCUGCCUCCUGCGGCACCUGCAGAGGUUCCACAGCGGCGCCCUGAAGCCCGACGCCCCCGCUGCCCCGCCCUCCACCACGGGUGGCCGGGCGCCCCCCAGCUCUGGGGCCACGGGGCCCCCCCCAGAGGACGACACCUCGGAGAGGUUCUGUGACUCUCACCCGGUCGCCAAGAAGAUCACGCGUCUCGUGGCGGAGAUGAUGGCCCUGGACCUGCAGCCGUACUCGCUUGUGGACAGCGUGGGCUUCAGCAGGCUGCUCGCACACCUGGCGCCGCAGUACUCGCUGCCCCCGCCCGCCUACUUCUCCAGGACCGCCAUCCCCGGCAUGUACGACCGUGUGAAGCGCGCGGUCAUGUCUCACCUCCAGGCAGCGGAGAGCGGCGUUGUCCACUUCACGUCCGGGAUCUGGAUGAGCAGCCAGACCCGCGAGUACCUGACCCUCACCGCCCACUGGGUCACCUUCGAGCCAGCGGCGCGGCCGCUCGGGGAGGACCACCACUGCUCAGCGCUCCUGGAUGUGUCGCAGGUCGACUGUGACUACAGCGGCAGCAGCGUCCAGAAGCAGCUGGAGCGUUGGUGGGAGGCCUGGGUGACGUCCACCGGCCUCCAGGUAGGCAUCACCGUCACUGACAACCCCAGCAUUGGGAAGACGCUGAACGAGGGCGCGCGCUCCAGCGUGCAGUGUUUCAGCCACACUGUCGACCUCGUCGUCAGCGAGGCCAUCAAAAGCCAGAGGAUGGUACAGAGCCUGCUGAGCACCGCCCGCAAGAUUUGCGAGCGCAUCAGGCGCUCUCCCCGGGCCAGGGCCAAGCUGGCCGAGCUGCAGAAGGAGUACGAGCUGCCUCCCCACCACCUGCUGCAGGACGUGCCGUCCAGGUGGGGCACGUCCUUCCACAUGCUGGAGCGGCUCAUCGAGCAGAGGAGGGCAGUCAGCGAGCUGUCGGUGGAGUGCAACUUCCGGGAACUCCUUAGCAGCGACCAGUGGGAGGUCAUGCAGUCCGUGUGCCACGCCCUGAAGCCCUUCGACGCUGCCAGCCGGGAGAUGAGCGCCCAGGUGUCUACGCUCAGCCAGGUCAUCCCCAUGGUGCACAUCCUGAACCGCAGGGUGGAGAUGCUGUUCCAGGAGACCAUGGGCAUCGACAGCAUGCUCAAGUCCCUGCAGGAGGCCAUGGCUGGCCGCCUGUCCGCCACCCUCCGCGACCCCCGCUAUGUGCUCGCCACGCUCUUGGACCCGCGCUACAAAGCCUCUCUCUUUUCUGAGGAGGAGGCUGAGCAGUACAAGCAGGACUUGAUCAGGGAACUAGAAAUGCUGAAUUCUACCUCAGAGCCCACGCCUGUCUCCAACGGGUGCGCCCCUGGCUCCCCACGGGGGGACUCGGCCGCAGACGGGAGCCUGUGGUCUCUCAUGGCCACCGUGAAAAGGAGCGAGCCCAGAGGGCCGACCAGGGUGCCCGAGGCCAUGGUGCUGGCGUACCUGGAGGAGGAGGUGCUGGAGCACGGCUGCGACCCGCUUGCCUACUGGAACCUGAAGAAGGCGGCCUGGCCCAGCCUCUCCGCCUUGGCCGUGCGGUUCCUAGGCUGCCCCCCCAGCAUCGUCCCCUCGGAGAAGCUGUUCAGUACGCCCACCGAGAACGGCAGCUGUGCCCAGUCCAGGCUCAUGAUGGAGCAUUUUGAAAAGCUUAUCUUUCUGAAGGUGAACCUCCCCUUAAUUUACUUUCAGUAUUGAAACGCACGGCGGGGCCGCCGGCAGGGUGUCUGCUGGGGCUGGUGGCUCCUCCGGUCAGGGCUGCGCAGGAUAGCAGACCGGCCCUCUCAGGUCCACACUGAGGCCCCCCAAGCCCUCCCCGACGUUGCACGUGCCUUACUUCUCCUCCUCCAGGCCAGGGACCUCGGCGUGUGUUCUAGGGCAUCCAUUAAAUACAGCCUGUCUUGUCAGUUAUGAAAUGCGAUGAUUCGGUUUCAUUCAAACCUGUAAAGUGUUUUUAAAAGUCGGGGUGGGAUACCGGUUUUACUAGAAUGGCCGAGAAGAUACAAGCAGUUUUAUUCUGUAGACUUUUUACUCGAUUGUGUAAAAACCACGAAUCAGGUACUGUACUGUAGUUUUAAAUUGCUUUAAUUGCAACAAAGCAGCUUUGCGGCUGUCAGGUAAAGCCUGCAAGAGACAGCGGAGCCGAAGCCGCCCCACAGGCCGUCAGGCUGCAGGCUGGAAGCAGGCCGGGGCCGGGGACCAUCCGGGAGCGCGCGGUUCACUGCAGUCGGCGCAGGUCUGGAGCCGGGGCUGCGUGCGGACGCCUCCCGCCGCGUCACUCAAGCGGGCUCAUUGCAGGGCGUGCUCCCUCUCAGGGGCUACGAGGUCCGCUAGCUCGGACACGGCCCGGCCGCCUGCGUGAGCGCCGGUGGUGCCCGUGGUGUAGCCGUGCACGUGGCGACACGUUUCCAGCGUCCUGCUGUUAAGUGUCCAGGCCUCUGACUCGGCAGCUCCGCACCGUGCAGCUGCCUUGAAACUUGUGCACUGAACCCCGAUUUGAUCAAAUUCUGUAUAAAACUGUUUUUAGAAGAGACGGUUUAUUAACAGGGCGGAAGACUGUCAUAGGACCGCUGUAAGACUAGCCUUAGGGGUUUAGAUUUUCUUUUUAUACGAGGGAAGGUCCAGCCAUCGGUGGGGUAUUUAGACUCCCAGACAUCAGAACGGAGUGUCGGUUGUCAGGUUCUUUUACCAGUGCUGCGUCUUCAGAGUUUUUACUUCAACGUUUAGAAAAGGGUUCAUUUUCUUACUUCAAACCAGUUAAAUAUUCUGGGUGAACCAAAUCACUGAUUUGCCUAUGACCUUUUGGAAGAGUCAUUUUGUUAAAAUACUGUACCUAUUAUUAACCUGAAUUUGCAUUGACUCUGUUUUAGUGUAUUUAUAAAUGGUGAACUCAGUUUCUGAAAUUAAACUUUUUAUUUGCAAUUUUC